UACAGAGGGGGCAAGCGUUGUUCGGAAUUACUGGGCGUAAAGAGCUCGUAGGCGGUCUGUCGCGUCGAUCGUGAAAACUUGGGGCUUAACCCUGAGCUUGCGGUCGAUACGGGCAUGACUGGAGUUCGGCAGGGGAGACUGGAAUUCCUGGUGUAGCGGUGAAAUGCGCAGAUAUCAGGAGGAACACCGGUGGCGAAGGCGGGUCUCUGGGCCGAUACUGACGCUGAGGAGCGAAAGCGUGGGGAGCGAACAGG
rnacentral:rRNA from 1 species